rfam:Schistosoma mansoni strain Puerto Rico chromosome 1, complete genome
AUCCAGCUGACGAAACCAAAAUAGGACAAAACGAGCGUCAAACUGGAU